rnacentral:piRNA from 1 species
UAGAAGGGUACCUGCAUACCAUGUGUGACU